UACGGGGGGGAGCAAGCGUUGUUCGGAUUUACUGGGCGUAAAGGGCUCGUAGGCGGCCAACUAAGUCAGACGUGAAAUCCCUCGGCUUAACCGGGGAACUGCGUCUGAUACUGGAUGGCUUGAGUUUGGGAGAGGGAUGCGGAAUUCCAGGUGUAGCGGUGAAAUGCGUAGAUAUCUGGAGGAACACCGGUGGCGAAGGCGGCAUCCUGGACCAACACUGACACUGAGGAGCGAAAGCCAGGGGAGCAAACGGG
rnacentral:rRNA from 1 species